rnacentral:lncRNA from 1 species
GGUGAUAACAAUGGUGAAAGUCUAAUUCUACUUUUGCUCUUUUGAGGGGAUACAUACCUUUCUUGCUCUUUUGAAACGUUAGGGGAUAAUGAGAUGCUGUGUACUUUCUUUUUCUUUCCUCUCAGGUGGGUAUUUUGUACCCCUAAUUCUACUGUCAGACACUUGUCCAUUUUUACCUCUCGUCUCACUUUUUCUUUUCUUUCGAAGUUCCGGGCACUUGCCCCAUUUUAUUUCCUCGUAUUUUCUCUUUUUUUGAAAGAGCACUCAUCUCAUGAGAUAAUAUAGCAAGUGGUAGUAACCAAGAUAACUUGAGCAUUUAUUUCACGGGGGAAAAACAGAAAUAUUUUUGGCUAUUCUCUCCAAGAUUAGGAGUAGAAUAUUUUUGGGUGGUUCUAGAGAUGGAAAUGGGUGGAUAUAUGUGGAUGCGUACUUCCGGAGUAGAAAGCAGCAUAUGUGAGUGCACGUGCAAGUGAAUCUUGAUUUAACCACAUGAUAAGCUCCUAAGAGUGUACACAGCUUGACCACACUCAAUGCUCAUAAGUAGUAAAUAGUAAAUGUGUGGCUCAAAGUCUAGCGAGCAUGUAUAUAUGGCUGUGGUAGGAAUUUAAACUCUCAUCAUAUAGGAACUCAUCAUGUGAUACUUUAAAGAUUUUCAAAGAUAAAACUCUCCAGAAUUCUAGCAUCUCUAGGAACAGAUAAACAACAGGUCAACCUUCCCAUAUCAUAUCCGUUAACAACUUAGACUUUAGAUCAAGUUUUCUUCCCACAAGUUUAGGUUUAGAGCAAGCUUUAAAUUAUAACAGUUAUGUUUAAACUUGAGAGAAAACUCAAAUUUGAAAAUUAGGGAGAGCACCUAUUCAUCAUAUCCAUGCUAGAGUUUUAUUUAGAUUCAGUUUAGCAUAGCCACUUUAUGUAUUUAUUAAACACACUAAGCAAAAGACAUAUAUUUAUAUAUAAGCACAAAAUCUUUAUUUGUUUUUUUCGUAGUUAUGUAUAUUUAUAUUUUAAUAUAGUAUAAGUAUAAAGAUAGGUAGAAAUACUUAGCGGGAUAAAUGGGGGUGCUCUCCCCCAAGCUGAAUUUUGACGUAAUUUCUUUCUGAUGUAGCUAGCAGGUGGUAGAGGUGUAUUUGAAAGUCGGCAGUAUCGUGACAGCGAUUAGAAUAUCCUCCAUCUGCUAGUCUUCUUGAAUCUUAAAUUCUGUGGAGCUGAAAUAGACAACAAAGCUUUGUGGAACUGAUUAAGUGUUAGCAUAAAUAUCUAGCCUUGAUCAUGUUUAGCCUCCUUAAUAAAUGUUACUCUCUAUUUUUAUAUUUUCAUUUCAUAAAGGAGAAAAGAAAUAUUUAUUUUAUUUUUAUGCCACCACAGUGAAUGUACUUAUGGGUUUUAUGCCACUCGUAUACUCAUAUGGAGCUUACUGGUUUUAACAUUUUUAUUUUCUUUUUAGGAUAGUAUGAACAUAAUUAACUAAGUAAACUAUUUUAAAUAAUUGAAAGGGAAAGGAUAACUACCAAGUUUACCUCUUGGCAAGGCAUUUGAUGUUUUUAAGUCCUCCGAACGGGACUCUCCGUUUUCUCAGUUGUCGUGGGAUUUGUUGGAUGGCUGCGUCGGUGCUUCCGGCGGCGCCUCUUCUUCGUGUAUAGUUAUCUUCUCUCUCCACACCUGACUCGGUGCUACGGUCUCCUCAGGAUAAUUUUGUUCAAGUUGUAUGUCCUCAGAUCUUAUCACUUCUCCUUCAUAGUCUGCCCAUCUGUCCUUGAUGAUUUGCCUUCUCUGUUUGCGAUUGCGUCGUCUUCUUCUUAUCCUGACCUGCUUAGAGUCUUCAACGAUAUAGUUAGGGUCAGUAAAAUAGCAGCGUACCUUCUCUGAGGAAGUGCAUAUAGACUUCUCCAGUUCCAAUAUAGAUGAUUGCUUUAACGGUGCUGAGGAAUGGUCUUCCAACGAUGACGGGUGGAUCAUAUUCGUCUUCUCCUAUGUCAAUAACCUGAAAGUCUGUGUAGACAAAAUGAUCGUCUAUUUUGACAGGGACAUCAGUUACUGUACCUUUAACCUCUCAAAAUGUCUGAUUUGCCAUCUGGAGCUGAAUGUAUGCUGGUUCUAAGGGCAUGGUUCAGAACAAGAGCCGAUAGCUGACUGCAGCCAUUAUGUUGAUGCCCGAUCCGGUGUCGCAAAACGUCUUGUAGAAGUUGUAUCCAUUUAUAGAGCAAUAGAUGCUUGGCAUUCCUAGGUCGUCCUUCUUGGUCAGAAACGGUGACUUAAGUUGACAAUCUUGACCUCCUUGAACUGCAGUGACCAUCUUAGCUGACUUGGUCCACACUUGCUUGUUCCUGUUCCUCCUGUUGGUCCUUUUCCUGGAUUCAUGUCGAGAUUGCUGUGGGAUUUGUGUAGUCUUGUUCUUGAAGGAAAACAUCUACUUCCUCCCUUUGAUGUAGAAACUGAUCUUGGCAGCGCUCGCGUAGAUGACAGCUCCCGAGGUGUUUAAGAAUGGCCUCCCUAAGAUGAUGGGUGCCCUCUCAUCAUUACCGGUCUCUAUGACCACGAAGUCUGCUGGGGCAUACAAGGUACCAACUCAGACACAGAGGUUCUUCAAUAUUCCCUUUGGAAAACUUAACGUCCAAUCUACAAACUGCAAACACAUGGUUGUUUCUAAUAACGGAUAUGUAAAGAAUUUUUCAUAGAGCAAUUCCAGGUAAUCGCAAGACUAAACGCCACGUCUAAUCUAUUAAUUACUACUCUAGCGUUAUAAAGACUAGAUCACUUGAUGCAAGCGGGAAUCCAAUAAAUAACUUGAAUGUAAAUAAAAGUAAUUAAAGAACUCAGGAAUUAUGAAUUGCAGAACUUGGAGAAUGAUGAAGAACGAACCAGUUGCUGCAAAAGUACAAUGUUGAGGAAGAUCCGACAGAUCCGGCUCCUCCUCCGCUCUCCUCUUCUCUCUCCCUAUUUUCUAGAUUACAACUAGAACUAACUAGAACUAGAACUAGAGGAACUAGAACUAGAACUAGAUGAACUAGAACAAGAUCUAGAUGAACUAGAGGUAGAAAUAGGAGAACUAGAGGGGUCCUCACUAUUUGGAUGAAGAAUUGAAACCCUAGCUUUGAUUCUGUAGAAGAGGCAUGAACUCCAGGGGCCAGGGGGUCUGGUUUUAUAGUCCCUUCAAGUGGAUAUGGGCCGUUGGAUCAAACCGACAUUGAUCCCUUAGCAGAAUAGGAGCAAGGCAACAUAGAGCAUUGAUGGUAUAUGCCUUCUCUCUUUUGUGGUAUUUCUGGAUCCUUACCAAGGCAGUAAUGGUAUAUGCCUUCUCUCAAAGUAUGUGGUAUUUGUGAUAUAAGGCAUAGUGACAUUGCCUUCUCUCUCACCCAACUCUAAUAAGGUUUUGAUAUCUGGAGCUCAUGGGUGGGAGACAGCUAAUACAUACUUACAAGACAUUUAUUGCAUAGUCAAACCAUGGAUCCAAAGAGACAAGUCAAUAAGUCAAAUCAAGAUGUGCAUGUGUGGCGAAUGAAUGGUGAUAAUGGUGAAAGUCUAAUUCUACUUUUGCUCUUUUGAGGGGAUACAUACCUUUCUUGCUCUUUUGAAACUUUUUGAGGAGAAUGAGAUGCUCUAUAUUUUCUUUUUUCUUUUCUCUCAGGUGGGUAUCUUGUACCCCUAAUUCUACUGUCGGACACUUGUCCAUUUUUACCUCUCGUCUCACUUUUUCUUUUCUUUCGAGGUUCCGGGCACUUGCCCCUUUUUAUUUCCUCAUAUCUCUUUUUUUUCAGAGCACUCACCCUCCUGGAAUAAUGUAGGAUAUAUGUGGAUGCAUAAUUCCGGAGUAGAAGCAGCAUGUGUGAGUGAACGUGCAAGUGAAUCUUGAUUUAACCACAUGACAAGAUCCUAGUGGUCUACACAGCUUGACCACACUCAAUGCUCAUAAGCAGUAAAAAGUAAAUGUGUGGCUCAACGUUUAGCAAGCAUGUAUAUAUGGCUGUGGUAGGAAUUUAAACUCUCAUCAUACAGGAACUCAUCAUGCAACAUUUUAAAGAUUUUCAAAGAUAAAAUUCUCCAGAAUUCUAGCAUCUCUAGUAACAGAUAAACAGUAGCUCAACCUUCCCAUAUCAUAUCCGUUAACGACUUAGACUUUAGAUCAAGUACUCUUCCCACAAGAUCAGGUUUAGAGCAAAUCUUAAUUAAUAACAGUCAUGCCUAAACUUGAGAGAGAUUUCAAUUUUGAGAACUAGUCAUGGCAAUGCAACUAUUCAUCAUUUCCAUGUGAGAGCUUAUCAUGAGGGUUCAUAGCAAACUUUAUUUAUUUAUUUAGCAAACUAAGCAAAGAUAUAUAAGCACAAAAUCUUAUUUGGGUUUUUAUGAUUAUGCAUCUUUUUAUUAUUUGAGUAAAGUAUAAACGCGAAUAGAAACACUUAGCUGGAUAAAUGGGGGUGCUCUCCCCCAAGCUGGAUGUGACAGAACCGCCCAAUUUAUACAAGCUUAAGUACGACUGUCCCCGUUUAACACGUUGACACGCGCAUACUCUCACUUAUAUAAACCCGGUAGUCUGCCGAGUGUCACAAAGGACUUCGGUAAAUCAACCUUACACCAAGAUCGCAUGAUUAAGCAAAUACACAUCACAUACACGGAGAUUUGCAGCGGAAAUAAUAUUACAAAAGAGUUCACAAAUAAUAGUACAAGUUUGGAUUUUUCCAAAUUGAUUAGAGAACAACAUAGCUUUCAAAUGAUUACAAUAACAUAAGUUUCAAAUACAUUGCUAGCAUAAGUGACAUCCUCCGACAAAAGCAUGUAGAUGAGAACAUUAUAUAGAAUCACCGAGCCCACCAGUGGUUAGCCACCAUCCUUAGCAGACUGAAAACUUCACCUGCAACAUGGUGGGAUAAACCCUGAGUACUCGAAUGUACUCAGCUAGACUUACCCGGCGGGAGAGAAAAUAAAAGACUCUCAAGGAUAUGCAAGGCUUUUUGUGGAGUUGGUUGGAUAGCAUAACAUUGCCAAAAAGAGCAUUACUAUCAUGAGUCCUUACUUUCAACCUUUUAGUCAAUAAUUUAGCAUCAAGUUCAGUUAAGCUACCAUAGCUAGAUUUUGCGCCUAUUCUAUAGCAAUCACUUGAUUAAUGAGCAUCACAUUAAUAACCAUAUCCAGUUUAUCAUGUAGCCAUCAUCAUCAUCAUAACCAUUAAGUUUCAUUUAGUUUAUCUACGUUGCCGCUGCUCGAGUCAAGUUCUCACUAUCCGGGAGAGAUGGCGAUUCGAAUCGAUUCCUAUCCAGCUGGAGGGGUAUUCCUAGCACUCACCUAGGCAUACUUAGCUAGAGUAGCUUGGAUCACCUUUAGCACAACUCCGGACCAAUUCACGGGUCCGUACGGCGCCGCACCCCAGGGACCGCCAAUCUGCCAGGGUCAGGACUCUAACCUGACUCCUCGGUCUUACGCCAUUGACUCCCCGCACAUCCUUGCUACUAACCGGGGUGCGCACUUAAACCGAACGGGGUAUCCGGCCAGAGAUGCACUCGUAGGCUUUGCGGUCGGAACGACUUAUCUGGCCAACUAAGUGUUAGGCAUGCGUUCAACAUGACACGAGGACGUACAGCGAAUUGGUCCUUAACCGACGCAGACGGGGAUAGAUUCACACCCAAGACCUCCAUGCCUUGUUGCUUCACUAUCGUCAUCCCGCCCAGUCUCAAAUUCAUUAUUAGCACAUGGUUAUUUCCACGAUAGCAAAUAUAGCCAACCGUGAUCAGGUAUCCACCUAUCUGUCGCAGGUGACAGGAAAUCACCUGGCUUCUACAGGGCUAAGCAUAGCUAAGCAUAGAACGUCUUCCUUAUACUAGUAAGGGUUCAGGUAGUUUCAUAUAGUGGACAAGGUAGGAAUAUAUGCACCAAUGGUUUCAUUCAACUCCUAUCACCUAAUGCAUCAUAUAAAGUUAUACUCUUGUGCUUUUAUAAAAAGAGAGGGCAGGAGACUUAGAAUGCUCCGGGACUUGCCUGGAAUUCGACACAAGUCAGUUAUGUCAGCUUGCAUCGUCUUGACGACAUCUAAGGUGACAACACUUGUUUAGUCCUUCCAUCGUCCGGUUAGGUCCACCAUCAUGUCCUUCACGUGGUUCAUCUAGCGUACCUAAAUGAGAUGCAAGAUGCAAGUAUAUGAACACGUAGAAGUGCAAUAGAUAAUGCAGCACAUGCAGCACAUAUAGUAAGCAAGAUAAGCAUCAUGUUACUCAACACAUACAUAUGUCGCUUAAAUAACAUAACCAACAUACUAAGAUAGAAAACAAUGCAAAACCAAGCAUAUCAAGCAUAGCACACAUGUUUCACAAGAUUUCAGGUGUCUUAACUUGGCCAUUAUCAAAGACAUGAGUCACACCUAGCAAUAUACCAAGCAAUGGCAAUAACAGGAAUCUGCCAUUUUUAGCACUGUUAACACCAGCUGAGAAAAUAAAUCAUAACUGGAGAUUCACAACUCCAAAAGACAUUCAAGAAGACAUUCUGGAAAGCUUACGAAAUUAUCUACAUUUGAAAUUCAGACAUAAAAGCAUGAUUCCCAACUUAAGCUGGUCGAAAUUAUAAAGAUCCAGAAUCUAUCCCUGACAAACAGAGAGCAGCCAUUUCUGGAAUCAAAAUUGGAACAGACAUAACUCACAAACCACAAGUCCAAAUACUACCAAAUUUUAAUAGCAGAUAGAUAACUGAAUUAUCUACAACUUUUCUAUAAACAAGAUUCCCAGAAAACAUCAUUUACAUAUUGUAAUCCAAACAGUUCCACAAACUGUCCAGAAACAAUAAUUGCAAACAAUUAAUUAUUAAUUUAUGUUUCAAACAUGCAUUUGAGCAAAACCAUUGUUACCAACAGUUUGCACAUAACUAAAGAACACCAGAAAACAUAGUGGUCAUUACCAAAUAAAUUUAUUUAAUGCCUUUCUUAAUUUAUUUGGAUAAUAAGGUGAGUUAAAGAACAUAUAACAAAAUUGCUCAAUAAAUUCCACCAAAAAUUACAGUAGCUUCUAAAUACUAUCUAUAGUCCACUGUAUAAAUUUCACUGCAUUUGAAUAAAGAUAUCAACAUCUAUGAAAAAGACAAAUUGCUAUUGCAAUUAACCAUGUGAGAGCAAGAUAAAUGCACAAAUCAUAUUUUCUUCAAACACAUGGCCAUAUCAUACAUAAACAUGAUACAACAAUAUCAUAGGAUUGUAUUGGAACAACAUUUUCCAUUUUUCCAUUUUUAGUUAUAAUUAUAAACCAUUUAUCAAGAUCCAUAAAGACAUCUCUGUCCAAAACAUGGACAGAAUCUAUCAUGUCACAUUAAACAGCCAUAACUUGAGUUUCAUAUGCCCAUAAAUUAUGGUUAUGUGCUUUCUAGAAAGAAUACUAAAUUGUGAACAACUUUGUUAUUAACAUCUAGAGCUAGAUCUACAAAUAAUAAGGUCUUACAUAACAAACAAUGCAUCCCUGUCUGGGUUUACACAGAAACUGAAACAGUAAUUUAAAUCACUAUAACUAAACAUAUGCUUGACCAAAAAUUUUGCUAUUUAGCUUGAUGGAAAGCUUAUGAAAAGUAAUACAACUCAUAUAUUUUCAUCCAGGCAUGAUUCACAACCUAACUGAGUCAAACAAUAUAAACAUGCAGAUCCACUCAGAAUAGGAGCAAGGCAACAUAGAGCAUUUGUUAUUUUUAUAACUCUAAAUCUGUCAUGCGUAAAUUCAUGAAACUUUUACCAGACAUAAAAUAUUAUAUUUAAAGCAUGCCACAAUAUUUUCGCAUUUAUUUAAGCAAUAAUACAUUGGUUAUGAAAAAGACAAAUAUAACAAGCAAUUAAAACCAAACUGCACAGAUCUAUUUUUACCGUUAAAACUUCAAACACAAACAUGGCAUAUUAUAGAUCUACUGCAUAGAGAAUUUCACAAGGAUUCCAAAAAUUCCACAUUUGCUAUUUUAAGAUUUUUCUAUGAAUUACUAUGGAUUUCUAAAGUUCACCCAGAAAUCUGCAAAAACAAAGGAAAAGGAAAACAGAUCUUUCACCGGGGACCCUUGACUUUCCAUGAAUCACGCAACCGCCCACAAAUACUGUUCAUAUGAGUCUUGGCUUCGCAUCUAGAACCCUGAGUUGUUUCUUAUUCAAACCCGAGGUCCCUUCUCUUCUCCAGAGGACACAGAGCAGAUCGGGUCGACCAUGGUUCCAACGACGGGGAAGGGCUAGCCAUGGGCGGUGCAUGGCCAACGGCUGCCAGUGGUAGGGGACAGCUGUGCCGGCAAGGUGGCCAGCCACGCUUGCGCCAUGCCCUGCAGCGGCGCAGCUGCUGUGCUGGCUGUCCACGGCGGACAGAGGGAGAGAGUGGAGAGGGAAGAAGGCGAGUGGAGGAUGGGAGAGCUUUGAGGGAGUGGAGGAGGACAGGGAGAGCUCUCUGGCGCUCGUCCACAAUGGUGCAGAGAGAGGACAGGGCAAGGUGGAGGUGGCAGCAAUGGAGGUGGGCGCUCUCUGCAUGGUCACCACGUUCCAGACACGCGUCGCCCUUUGAAGCAUAAACGCGAACACGUGGCGGGUGACGGUAUGGCCAGUGUGGGACGCCGAUUUGGGCCGGAUCUGGACAAAAUUUGGACAUGGACCAAAAACGAAGUUUGCCAAGCUCGGCCUGCCCUACAACUUUGAUUAAGGUGGCAUGGUCAUUAGAGUUGUAGAUUAGUAGAUAAUUAGAUGCCAAGUCACGAGUGUCAAUGAAUUGAUAAUGAUUAGCAAAACUCGAAAUUGAAGACCAAAACAAAGUCAAACUAGCGUCAUCUUUUUAUAUGCUCUUGUCCACAAUAUGUACUCCAACUUUUAUUUUGGGACCGAAGCAAGUUGUUUAGUAAAAUUUGGAGAACACGGAAUGCCAACGUGAUGAACUGCAAACCUAGACUUAGAAACUCAAAGUGCUGGAAAUUAUAGCAGAUUCAAUCUUGUGACUAUUAUUUGACAUGCUUAGAAGAUGAUUCAGACUUAGUACUUUUAACCAAGAUUGUAUUAUGCAAACUAUACUACAACUUUUACAAAAAGGACCUUGUACUGGUUCAGUAUUAUUUGGAAGAUACAAGGCUCCCAACUAGGGUACCCGAAACUGAGCACCUCAGGACUUAGCCAAAAUUCUGGAGUUCCAGAACAGCACUGCAUUGAAUAUUGUAAACUUAAUUUGACUAGGUUAGAGACAAAAAUAGCUCUUGAUCAUUAAAGAAAGUUUGUUCUACAGAAUCUAAACUACAACUUUCAUUUAAGGUCAAACCUCAGAACUAGUACAGAAGUCAAACUUUCACUUUGGUCAAUGCAGCAACUUGAUAAAGCUCAAACUAAGAUUUUAGGCUAAUUGAAGCAUUUUCUAGGCACAAGCUCAACAGGUACCCUUCAUGACUUUUGUUGUAGAGUUCAUCUAGAGUUACUUGGGCAGGGUUGCAAGGUUUGGUUGAUGACCCAUGGUUCCAUUCACUUAAUGAGGGCAUUCCAACAAGCAUGUAACUUAUCAUUUUAUGUGACCUUUUGAUUCCAAACUUCUUUAAACUUUUUGAGUGAUCACUAUAGGCAGUGAUGGAUGUGGGACACAUGAGAGAGGUUUCAUUAAAAUCACUCAAGUAUGCACUUUGAAAAGGGCCUAUAUGUAAGCAAGGGUGCAUUCUCCAAGUUUAACUUGAGGCUCACUUUCAUGGAUUGACUUUAACAUGAUCAUCACCACUUAUCAUGACAUGUUUGAGCUCAAAACCUAAGGUCUAACUUGUGACAAACACCUAGGGUGUUACACUGGAUUUUGAUGUAAUUUCUUCUGAUGUAGCUAGCAGGUGGCGGAGGUGUAUUUGAAUGUCGGCAGCACCCUGACAGCGAUUAGGAUGUCCUCCGUCUACUAGUAUUCUUUGAUCCUUGAAUUUUGUGGAGCUCAAAUAGACAACAAAGCUUGUGGAACUAGUUAAGUGUUAGCAUAAAUAUCUAGCCUUUAUCAUGUUGAGCCUCCUCAAUAAAUGUUAUACUCUUUGGUAGGAUCAUAAAUUUAUUUUUAUAUUUUCAUUUUUAUAGCACAUAAAUAUAUUUAUUUUAUUUUUAUGCAACCACAGUGAAUGUACUUAUGGGUUUUAUGCCAUGAGCAUACUCACAUGGGGCUUACUAUUUUUAACAUUUUUAUUUUCUUUUCAAGAUGAUAUGAACCUGAUUAACUAAGCAAACUAUUUUAAAUAAUUGAAAAGAAAAGGAUAACUACCAAAUUUACCUCUUGGCAAGGCGUUCGGUGUUUUUAAGUCCGCCGAACGGGACUCUCCGUUUUCUCAGUCGUCCUGGGAUUUGCUGGAUGGUGUAGUCGGUGGUUCCGGCAGGACCUGGUCUUCAUGUAUUCUCUCUACACACCUGACUCGGUGCUACGGUCUCCUCAGGAUAGUUCUGUUCAAGCUAUAUGUCUUCAGACAUUACCACUUCUCCUUCGUAGUCUACCCAUCCGUCCUUGAUGAUUUGCCUCCUCUAGUUGCGGUUGUGUCGUCUCCUUCUUGUCCUGACCUGCUUAAAGUCUUCAACUAUAUAGUUAGGGUCAGUAAAAUAGCGACGUACCUCGUCAGAGGGGAAGUGUAUGUAGACUUCUCUGGUUCCAAUAUAGAUGAUUGCUUUAACGGUGUUGAGGAACGGUCUUCCAAGGAUGACGGGUGGAUUGUACUCGUCUUCUCCCAUGUCAAUAACCUUAAAAUCAUCUGGAGCUGAAUGUAUGUUGGUUGUAGGGGCAUGGUUCCAUGCAGGAGCUGAUAGGUGACUGCGGCCAUUAUGUUGACGCUUGACCCAGUGUCGCAAAGCGUCUUCUAGAAGUUGUAUCCAUUAAUGGAGCACUGGAUGCUUGGCAUACCUAGGUCAUCAUUUUUGGUCAGGAACGGUGACUUAAGUCAACGAUCUUGACCUCCUUGAGCUGCAGUGACCAUUGUUGACACUUGCUAACACCACUUGAAUACUAGGUUGUCAUCCCCAGCAUCGUACUAGAGUGUACUACGGUAUUUAUACGCACACAGAUAAUCCGCAAGCGCACGGAUACCGUUGUAGCCUUUUACCCAGUUAAAGGUUUUAUCGUAUCCACAGGGAAACGGGAGAACUGAUCUACGCUCUAACUUAACCAAGAUAAAUAGAUAGGUGUAAAUAGGAAAGAUGGUAGAAUCGAAUAAGAACAAUAUUAAAGGUAAGAUAACAGUGAGUGAUAAUAUGGAAAUAGAGAGUAGAGCAAUUCUAGUAUAUGGGCGAUGGUAGCAGAAUAGAGAGGACAACUAUGGUUUCUCUACUUAAAAGGGGUAUGUCUAUGUCUGGGACAAACCACGUGAUAAGAUUACACCACAAAGGAUGCUUAUCCAUAGGCCGAUAAACUCUACCCAUCCUGCUAACGAGAGGUGGACUACAGAGGACCAACGUAACUGUCACAUACGUGGCCUACCACACGAUCCAGCUAGACAGGGGAUAUCCACAAGUAAUCUAGGUCUAAGCACCACGCUUACACCUAUACUACAACUCUAACCUAUAGGGUCCUAUAGAUUAGAAGUACUCAAAAGAGUUGUGAACCAGAACAUACAUGAUUAGUAAUUGCAUAAUGAAUUAGAAGUAGAUUACCAGAGUCAUCCCAUGAGCAAGAUUGAUUAGAACUUGAUCAUGACGAAGUACAACCGGAGGAAGAACCGACAGGCCGGCCUCUCCUCUAAUCCUACUUCGCUCUCCAUCUUGCUACUGUCUAGAUCUACUCUAGUUUAGAGAAGAGAGGAGAGCUCUCAUCUCUAAAACCUAGAUUUUGCUCUGUCUAUGAAUAAUGAAUAAUGAUCAAGGGGUGCCGCCUCUAAGGGCCAGGGGGUCUGGUUAUAUAGUCCCCUCAAGUGAAUCUGGGUCGUCGGAUCAAACCGACAUUGAUUGAACGGUUAUUCUUGAUCCUUUAGAUCGGUGGAGCAUAAUCCGCGAGAUUGAGCGUGAUUGGCCGAAAUAGGUGGGCGGGCGCCCAGGGCCUGGCUCCGUUUGGCCUCCGCUUCCUUCCCGUGGCUUCUGGAGUCUUCUAGAUGUAAGAUAAUUGUGCGGCACGUUGAUAUCUCUAUGUAAUCCCGACGUGUGGGCCUUUCUUCCUUAUUUCCUGAUAACCCCCUGCAGAAAUAGACAAACACCAAAACUUGUGGAAUUCUGUCAGAUAAAACCCUAAGUUUAGAUGUUGGUUGUAUUUGGAUCCUUUUCUUUAAUUAUUUGAUGAUUAUAUUUGGUACUUAAGGACCGUCAACAACUCCCCCAAGCUUACCUCUUGCUCGUCCCUGAGCAAGGAUGGACUCAAGAGUUUCUAGAGUGGUUUUAUGCCUUAAAGGUACACAUGCGUUUAAACAAGAUUUCAUAUCUAGGUUAGGGUAAAUUGUUAUGAUUUAAAACUUACUCAUAUUACCUUUCACCAUGGGGCUUGCAACCGUCACUUGUGUCUUGAGCAGUUAAAAGAUAGAACAGUCAAGUCAAGCGUCAUGUCUCUUGUUCUUGAUCAACUAUAGCUCUGGAGUUUUUGCAGAUUUUCAAAUAAAACUCAGAGAUUCCUUGUAUGACUCUCUCAAUUCUCUCUUUUGUGGUAUUUCUGGAUCAUUACCAAAGCAGUGAUGAUAUACGCCUUCUCUCAAAGUAUGUAGUAUUUGUGGUAUGAGGCAUAGUGAUAUUACCUUCUCUCUCACCCUACUUUGAUAAGGUUUGAUAUCUAGAGCUCACAGGUGGGAGACAGCUAAUACAUACUUACAAGACAUUUAUUGCAUAGUCAAACCAAGGAUCUAGAGAAACAAGUCAAUAAGUCAAAUCAAGAUGUGCAUGUGUGGCGAAUGAAUGGUGUAUGGUGAUAAUGGUGAUAAUGAUGAAAACAAUGGUGAAAGUCUAAUUCUACGUUUGCUCUUUUGAGGGGAUACAUACCUUUCUUGCACUUUGAAGCUUUUUGAGGGGAAUGAGAUGCUCUAUAUUUUCUUUUUUUUCUUUUCUCUCAGGUGGGUAUCUUGUACCCCUAAUUCUAAUGUCGGACACUUGUCCAUUUUUACCUCUCGUCUCACUUUUUCUUUUCCUUCGAGGUUCGGGCACUUGCCCCUUUUUAUUUCCUCGUAUUUUUCUCUUCUCUCUCUUUUUUUUUUCUUUUAGAGCACUCACCCUCCUAGAAUAAUGUAGCAAGUGGUAGUGACCAAAAUAUCAAGGGGCAUUUAUUUCACCGGGAAUAACAGGGAUAGGAUAAUGUUUUUGGCUAUUCUCUCCCGGAUAGGAGUAGAAUAAUUUUGGGUAAAUCUGGAGAUGGAAAGGAGUGGAUGUAUGUGGAUGCGUACUUCCGGAGUAGAAGCAGCAUGUAUGAGUGAACAUGCAAGUGAAUCUUGAUUUUAACCGCAUGACAAGCUCCUAAGGGUCUAAUAAGCAGCAGUAAAUGUAUGGUUCAUAGUCUAAUAAGCAUGUAUAUAUGGUUGUGGUAGGAUUUUAAACUCUCAUCAUACAGGAACUCAUCAUGCAACAUUUUAAAUAUUUUCAAAGAUAAAAUUCUAUAGAAUUCUAGCAUCUCUAGGAACAGAUAAACAGCAGCUCAACCUUCCCAUAUCAUAUCCGUUAACGACUUAGACUUUAGAUCAAGUACUCUUCCCACAAGAUCAGGUUUAGAGCAAAUCUUAAUUAAUAACAGUCAUGCCUAUACUUGAGAGAGAUUUCACUUUUGAGAACUAGUCAUGGCAGAGCAACUAUAAAUCAUUUCCAUGUGAGAGCUUAUCAUGAGGGUUCAUAGCAAACUUUAUUUAUUUAUUUAGCAAACUAAGCAAAGAUAUAUAUAUAAGCAUAAAAUCUUUAUUUGGGUUUUUAUGAUUAUGCGUCUUUUUAUUAUUUGAGUAAAGUAUAAACGCGAGUAGAAACACUUAGCUAGAUAAACGGGGGUGCUCUCCCCCAAGCUAGAUUUUGACGUAAUUUUUUCUGAUGUAGCUAGCAGGUGGCGGAGGUGUAUUUGAAUGUUGGCAGCACCCUGACAGCGAUUAGAAUGUCCUCCGUCUGAUAGUCUUCUUUGAUCCUUGAAUUCUGUGGAGCUCAAAUGGACAACAAAGCUUGGUGGAACUGGUUAAGUGUUAGCAUAAAAUCUGCUUGCCUUUAUCAUGUUGAGCUUCCUCUAAUAAAUAUUACUCUCUUUUGUAGGACCAUAAAUUUAUUUUUAUAUUUUCAUUUCUAUAGGACAAGAAUAUAUUUAUUUUAUUUUUACGCCACCACAGUGAAUGUACUUAUGGGUUUCAUGCCACGAGCAUACUCACAUGGGGCUUAGUAUUUUUUAACAUUUUUAUUUUCUUUUCAAGAUAGCAUGAUUAACUAAUAAGAUAUUUAAGGAAAGUAAAUAAUUAAAGGGAAAAGGGAAUGCAGAAAGAAUAAAUAUGGAUAACUACCGAUUUUACCUUUCGGCGAGGAUUCAAUGUUUUAAGUCUUCUGAACAAGACUUCUCACCGUGUUCAUUCUUCAGGUGCGUCAUUUGAUUCAGGUGUGGACCUUGACAUCUGCACCUCUUAAUACGGUGUCACCCAUGUUCUUUGUUUGCCCAGUAGUUCGAAGUGCGGUGUUUGUAGUAUUUUGCUCAGUGUGUUUGUGCUUGUAGACCCAGGUUCUUCACUUGGUGGAGUGUGAGAGUUGUAAAACUCCUUCAUGUUUUGCUUGAAGUGUACCUGCUCAUAGAGACAAGGCAGAGAUCAAGUGCAUGGGUCCUGUUGGUGGAAAACACCAACAGAACCAAAAGUGUAUUUGUCCUUCUCUAACCUUAAGCAUGGUGAGCAAGACAAAGUUGAUGAAUGAUAAGUUCAUGAGUAUAGCAUUUAAAACAUUUACCGGAUCAGAUUGCUUCAACCUUAUGGAAAGAUAAUCUAUCUAUGUAUAUGUCUUUUUAUUUAUAUCUCUCAAAGAUUGAAUGUGUAACAUUUUAGCUCAUAUGGUUAGGAGUGUGGGGAUCAAAGAUUAAAGGACUAAACAUGCUGAAUCAGUGGGGUUGGUUAAUUUGGAGUUAUAAAUCAUACAUGUUCGUCUCUUUUAUUCAUAUGAACGCCAGAACCAAGGAGGAGCUUAUAAAAGUGAUAGUCACAUACCUUAAGAUGUUACCUUAAUUGAAGAGUGAUGGUAUAGUAUCACCUUGUGGAAGCUUUCCUUUCUUUGUGCAUCGUGUUUGUGGCACCCUCCAUGGAUCAUCCCUUAUGAGCUACGUCUUCCUUGUGUAAAUUGUUAAACUUCAUGUGUCUCUCUCUUUGUCUCCAAUGUGAGUUUAUCUUAGGACUUCCUAGGUUGAUAGUGAAAGUUUUCCUGCAGGGGUUAGUCCGACAAAAUAUACCAAUAUCUACUCAAGUAGUUUUUAGUUCAGUAAGCAAACUAGACUCCAUGUCUAAUCAGAUUAAGGAAGGCUAUUUAACCUAAGCACCAUGCUUAAUUUAAAAGCCAAUGGAAGUAUGUCGAGUACUUCCAAACCAACACUUGCUAGUAAAUAGACAAAGGUAGCAUGACAGCAUUUAUAGAGAUCUACUCAAGUGGAGAUGAAGUAGUGUGAUUAGUAUUUAACAAAUUGAGCAUGUCUCAAAGGUAGGGACAACCAGCAUAGCAACAUGGCAAAGGAUGUUUUUAUGUAAACUACUCCCCCAAGCUUGA